UUAAUUCAAUACAAACGAUAAAAAAUACUAGAAUGAAUAGAUAAGACAUAUAAUAAAUUAUCAAACCACUUGAAAAUAAAGGGGGAAUGAUUCUGGACUCGAGGGCAGCCUCAAUGAGGUAUCUUGAACCUAUGCAGCAGUCUAACAAAAUGGAGACAUAUAGAGCAAGAAUUGGUUUGGCUCAAGCUGUGGUGAAUGUGUCAAACAAGAUUUGGGCUUUUAUUGAUGAAAUUUUUGCAGUUAAUAUUCUGUAUAAUAUGAAUCAACAAUUGACUUUAAAAUUGGUGCACACUGAAACACAUGCAGAGCUCAUCCUCACGCUAGUGUACACUAAAUGUGAUCGCAUUGAAAGAAUUGAGCUAUGGGAUUCUCUAUAUUCAAUGGCAUCGCACAUUACUGUUCCGUGGCUGGUCGGAGGAGACUUUAAUGUGAUUUGGGAUGAGGAAGAGAAGUUUAGCGGCUUGCCAGUCUCGUUCCUCGAAGUAGAUGACUUCAGACAUUGCAUAAACUCAUGCUCCUUAAACGAUUUGGGGUUUAAAGGAAGCAUUUACACAUGGUGGACUGGAAGAUCAGAAGAGGACCGUAUAUUCAAAAGACUAGAUAGAUGUCUAGGAAAAAAUGAACUGCAACAGACCUUUCCUGGAUUGGAGGUAAUUCAUUUGUCCAAAAUCGGCUCCGACCAUUGCCCCAUGCUGCUCAAAUGUGAUAUAAAAACUCCCCCAGUUAAGAAGUCUUUCAGAUUUCUUAAUUUCUGGACAAAGCAUGACUCAUUUAAAGAUGUAGUCAAGGAGAAUCGGAAUGCUGAUUUUAGUGCUAACCCUUUCACCAUUUUUAACUACAAGUUAAAGAAGCUUAAACAUGCACUUUCUACCUGGAGUAGAGCUACAUAUGGGGACAUUUUCCAGAAGAUUGAAAGUCUAGAGGAGGUGGUCCUGUUUCAUGAAAAACAAUUUGACAGAGCUACAUAUGGGGACAUUUUCCAGAAUAUUGUAAGUCUAGAGGAGGUGGUCCUGUUUCAUGAAAAACAAUUUGAAGUUAAUCCUACAUAGAUAAACAGACAGAGAUUACGACUGAUCCAAGCUGAAUUGAUUAAAUAUCUUGCAAUAGAAGAACAAUUUUGGAGAUAAAAAGUAGGCAUGUUAUGGUUCAAAGACGGGGAUAGAAACACUAAAUGUUUCCAUGCUCAAGUUAAUGGGAGAAGGAAGAUACUAAAAUUAUCAAGGAUCCAAAAUAGCCUUGGUAAUUGGAUUGAAGAAGAUCAUGUAAUAGCAGAAGAAGCAGUAAAAUUUUACAAGGAAGUAUUUACUGAGAGCUCAAUUCCUAAUGCUUUUGAUAUUCUAUACCAUGUAACUUCUAUGGUAGAUAAUGAUCAACAUGAGAGGUUAAUGGCUAUACCUUCUAAUGAGGAAGUGAAGAAAGCAGUCAUGGGCUCAAUGGGGACUCAGCAGGUGGUCCAGAUGGUUUCACAGGAGCCUUUUACCAAACAUGCUGGGAUAUCAUUGAAGAAGAUGUAGUCGACAUGGUCAAGUCUUUUUUCUGCGGUCAACAACUGCCUAAGAGUGUGACGCACACAAACCUGGUUAUAUUACCAAAGAAAAAAGAAGUGACUACCUUUGUAGACAUGAGGCCAAUCAAUCUUAGCAACUUUGUUAACAAGAUCUUCUCGUGGAUCAUUCAUGAAAGGUUGGUUGAAUUAUUACCAAGCUUAAUCUCAGAGGAGCAACAGUCUUAGCAACUUUGUUAACAAGAUUUUCUCGGGGGUCAUUCAUGAAAGGUUGGUUGAAUUAUUACCAAGCUUAAUCUCGGAGGAGCAAGCUGGAUUUGUGAAGGGAAGAAACAUCGUUGAGAAUGUUCUGCUAACUCAAGAAAUCAUUAAGGAUAUCAGGGCAAGAACUAAAGUAGGUCCAAAUGUUGUGAUAAAGCUAGACAUGACAAAAGCUUAUGAUAGGUUAUCGUGGCUUUUCCUGACUAAAGUGCUAAGGAAGAUGGGAUUUCCUGAAGGUUUUAUUGGCUUGAUAUUUGAUUUGAUAGGGAACAAUUGGUACUCUAUUCUAAUAAAUGGUCAGCCAUAUGGUUUUUUCAAAUCUUCUAGGGGAGUUAAGCAAGGAGACCCGCUGUCACCUACACUAUUCGUUAUAGCAGCAGAAGCAUUGUCUCGAGGUUUGAAUUCACUGCAUACUAACAUGUACUUCUGUGGAUUUGGACUUCCAAAAUGGAGCCCAAGAAUAAACCAUCUGGCUUAUGCGGAUGAUACAAUCAUUUUCUGCUCAUCAGAUGAAACUUCAUUGAGACUUGUCAUAGAGGUUAUACAAGC
rnacentral:lncRNA from 1 species